AGUGAACGCUGGCGGCGUGCUUAACACAUGCAAGUCGAACGAGAACGGAUUAUAGCUUGCUAUAAUUGUCAGCUAAGUGGCGCACGGGUGAGUAAUGUAUAGGUAAUAUGCCUCUUACUAAGGGAUAACAAAUGGAAACGUUUGCUAAUACCUUAUACUCCUUAUUAACAGAAGUUAAUAAGGGAAAGAUUUAUUGGUAAGAGAUUAGCCUGUAUUGUAUCAGUUAGUUGGUGGGGUAAUGGCUUACCAAGACUAUGACACAUAACUGGUUUGAGAGGAUGAUCAGUCACACUGGAACUGAGACACGGUCCAGACUCCUACGGGAGGCAGCAGUGGGGAAUAUUGCACAAUGGACGAAAGUCUGAUGCAGCAACGCCGCGUGGAGGAUGACACAUUUCGGUGCGUAAACUCCUUUUAUAUGAGAAGAUAAUGACGGUAUUAUAUGAAUAAGCACCGGCUAACUCCGUGCCAGCAGCCGCGGUAA
rnacentral:rRNA from 1 species